rnacentral:lncRNA from 1 species
GAAAAAGUGAAUAGCAUUCCACUUACUGCCAAAGCAGACAUACUCCCACUGAGGAAUGCCAAAAGUUUAAAAAACAGAUAAUGAAAGAAAUUCAGGAACAUAAAACAUAUGAAUUUCCAGAAACAGAAGAUAAGGAAGAAAAUAAUUGGUUAAAAAGAUAAAGGGCCAUUGACCUCUUGCUGUGGGAGGCAGUAAUACUAUUAUUGAAGUUAAUGGCAAAAGGGUCAGAAGGAGGCAGCAUAUCCUUGGGGUGUGGCUGAAGUUGAAAAUGGUGAGCAUUUUGAUUUUACAAUACUAAGAAAUAUGUUGAUAAGAACAUAGAUGCAGGAUUGAAAAAUGUUACUAAUAAUGUACACGAUGAGAACGACAGAAGCAGAAAACUUGCAGCUGGAACUUACAAUGGAGUUGAUAAAACAAGAAUAAAGGGCAGCUUAUGAAGAGCUCUCUGGCACAAAGGGAAGGAGAAAGGAGGGAGCAUGUAGCCAAGAUGAAGAAGGUGGAAAUGGAGAUGGAGCAGGUGUUUGAGAUGAAAGUCAAGGAAAAGUUAAAAAAUUGAAGGACUUUGAAGCCGAGGUGUAGUGACGCCAUGAGCCAAUGAAAAAGAAUUUGGAAGCCCAACAUAAGGAACUAGAGAGGAAAUGAUGUCAGUUUGUGAAGGAGAAAGCAAACUGGGAAGCUAAGCAAUGUACUUUAGAGCAACAUAACUCCUCAGGGACCUUGGAAAGAAACAAGAAAGGAAGAUCUUUUAAACUCUCUAUUGACCUCCCGUUAUGUAUUAGUUGCCAAUAUGCCAGCUUGGACAUCAGUGUUUGUGGGCUCCAUUUGACCAAUUUGUACCACUUUUAUCCAUAAUGAUGAAUUUAACAGUAGACAAAAUUUUUUUAUUGUUGUUGUUGUUGUUGAUGGAGAUUAAGAUGC